UGACGCAUGUUUCCAGAAAUGCGUGGUUCAUUGGUGGUGGCGCCAUGAUUCGUCUGCAGAAUGCCUCUGAGCGCGCCGCCGCCGGUCAGGUCGACGAGACGAAACUGGCGCGCGACUCUGUAAUCGCCAAUACGGCCACAUUUUUCGUGCUGUGCGGCGUCAUCAGAGCCAUGCCGGCGAUUCUUGCGGCGUUCAGCGGCGAAUCGUGAGCCGUCGGCGGACCGCUCCCUACGUGCCGCUGACGAGCCGAGUCGACAUCGCCGCCCGGCCGUUCGUCCAGUGCGGCCGCCGACCUCCCAACCGGCCUCUGGAUGGGUGUGAAGGAUGUCCGGGGUCGAGCCGAACAGGAUCAGUCAUAGGAUACCUCGGCGACAUUGUGAAUGAUUGUGAGCCAAAAUAGAUUGAGAGAGUGAUUGUGUGUGAUGUCAUGAAUGAAUGACUGCGAGAAACGUAUGCGUUCAUCAGACAAUUCAUCGUACUAAAACAUCGUGGUGGCAUUGUUGUUGAGUUGUAUUUGUGCAAUGCAUUCAUCGUGAAAUAUAACACAAAGCUGAA
rnacentral:misc_RNA from 1 species